rnacentral:rRNA from 1 species
GUGGGGAAUAUUGGACAAUGGGCGAAAGCCUGAUCCAGCCAUGCCGCGUGUGUGAAGAAGGUCUUCGGAUUGUAAAGCACUUUAAGUUGGGAGGAAGGGCAGUAAGUUAAUACCUUGCUGUUUUGACGUUACCGACAGAAUAAGCACCGGCUAACUUCGUGCCAGCAGCCGCGGUAAUACGAAGGGUGCAAGCGUUAAUCGGAAUUACUGGGCGUAAAGCGCGCGUAGGUGGUUUUGUAAGUUGGAGGUGACAUCCCCGGGCUCAACCUGGGAACUGCCUCCAAAACUGCAUGACUAGAGUACGGUAGAGGGUAGUGGAAUUUCCUGUGUAGCGGUGAAAUGCGUAGAUAUAGGAAGGAACACCAGUGGCGAAGGCGACUACCUGGACUGAUACUGACACUGAGGUGCGAAAGCGUGGGGAGCAAACAGGAUUAGAAACCCCGGUAGUCC